CUGGCUCUCAGUGCAGUGGAUGCACUCAGGAAAGACAGAUGAUGAACCAGAUAUAUUCAGAAUCACACUGGCCAGUUUGUCGCCUGCUCUCUAGCAAAGCUGAAGAACUGAAAUUCUCAGGGACAGAUCUAUCAACUGGAAAUUGCUUUGGUUCAAUUCAGUGCUCUGUUCCUGAAAUUUUUGAGAUGAAGAAUUUGGCAAGACUACCAUCCACUAAACAGUUGUCAGCAAAACCAGGGCUGUGAAAUGCUCCUUUUCAGGUUUUGAUGCUACGCCUGUUUAUUCGAAGAUUUGGUAGUUCUUGUGAUUUUAUCAGCAUCUCAUUAGGCUUUUCAGAAGACUCUCAUCAAUUUAUGCAAUGAAGAAUUUUAAAAAAGUAAAGCCUAGAAAACCCAAACCAAGUCUAAUUUAAAAACACAACAACAAAAACAUGCAAAGCAAUGUAUCAAGACUAAUGACUGACAAUCUAAGGGCCUUCUAUGCUGAGUGACAACAUCAAUGGACCAAGGAAGGACAGCUGAUGUUGUCUACUUGGACUUGUACAAGGCUUGUGACAUUCUAAACCAUUCUAUGAUUUUAUUAUAUAGAAUGAAGGUACUGCUUGUGUUUAAUUAUCUACAGCUACACAGUCAAAUAAUGAAUUCUACAGCUUCCUAGUCACAUAAUUACAUAGGAUUGAUCCAGAAGUUUCAUUAUGUGAAAAUUGUUACCCUUUUGUUGGAGUGAUAUCAUUAAAACAAAGUGGAAUCCCCUCCACAGAAUAACAUAAGAUAAUUUACCCCCAUUAUUUUCUUAAUAUCUUUAAGUAUAACCUUACUGUUCAGGAUGGGAACAACGAAUGUCUUUGUAUUGUACCUUUAAUUGUACUAUUUCUAUGACAGAAAUGUAGAGCUGUUCUGUUACUGGUUAAUUAAAAACUAAAUUUCUUUUCCUUACACUCUGAAUUUCCACUUAAAGUUAAUUAUGGAAAAUAACAAAUAGCAAAAUGUUCCUUUUCCAGAGUAAGUUCCCACUGGGACUGAGUAAAAAUGUUAAUAAUUAAUCAAAUAGUCUAACUUCAUAUUAUUUUUUGCUACCUCACACAUAUGAAAAACCCCACUGAUGUUGUUUUACUUUUUUUUUUUUUUUUUGGUUUCAUAAAUAUUUAUGUAUAGUUGCAUUUUCCUACUAAAUGGCAUUUUUUUCUGCCCAAAGGGAGGAAAAACAAUUUGUGUGUUAAUUUUAUCUCACUGGUUUUGUUCAGCUCCAGUAGCUCUGUAUAUAAAAUAAGAGAUUAGAUAAAAAGAAAUGCACACAACCUGUGUUUGUUACUGUAGACGAUAAUAAUUAG
ensembl:lncRNA